GCUGGAGCCAAAAAAAUAAAUAAUUAAUGCCCUCCCAGGUUUUGCAGAUGGACUCUGAGUUGGGACACUUCUUCAACACUUAACCAGGCAGUUUAGACGUCCACCUUAACCUUCACUGGCUGCUUACUUGGAGGCUAAAGAUCACCCAGAGGUGUAAAUUGAAUGAAACACUGACCUUCCCCAAGCAAGAUGGAAUUCUGUCCUGGGAUUUGAACUGCAGUAUCAGUCACCUGACCCAUAAAGAGCUGGUUGGUUUGUGUACAGCAUUUGCAAGAUGAAUGGACAACACCCUGUUUGGAAGUCUACCCCUUUGAUCAAAGAAGAUAAAAACAGAACAGCUCUUGUGGGCUGAAUUGCAGGGUGUUUUCUUAGCAGUGAUGGAAGAAUUGAACAAUGAUAAAAGCUCCUAUGUUUUAGUUUUACUGACUUAUGGGCAGUGACU
rnacentral:lncRNA from 10 species